UAGGGAAUCUUCCGCAAUGGACGCAAGUCUGACGGAGCAACGCCGCGUGAGUGAAGAAGGAUUUCGGUUCGUAAAACUCUGUUGUUAGAGAAGAACAGCGCAUAGAGUAACUGUUAUGCGUGUGACGGUAUCUAACCAGAAAGCCACGGCUAACUACGUGCCAGCAGCCGCGGUAAUACGUAGGUGGCAAGCGUUGUCCGGAUUUAUUGGGCGUAAAGCGAGCGCAGGCGGUCAAUUAAGUCUGAAGUUAAAGGCAGUGGCUCAACCAUUGUAGGCUUUGGAAACUGUUUAACUUGAGUGCAGAGGGGGAGAGUGGAAUUCCAUGUGUAGCGGUGAAAUGCGUAGAUAUAUGGAGGAACACCGGUGGCGAAAGCGGCUCUCUGGUCUGUAACUGACGCUGAGGCUCGAAAGCGUGGGGAGCGAACAGG
rnacentral:rRNA from 1 species